rnacentral:rRNA from 1 species
AGAGCGAACGCUGGCGGCAGGCCUAACACAUGCAAGUCGAGCGGCCGUAGCAAUACGGCAGCGGCAGACGGGAGAGUAACACGUGGGAACGUACCCUUCGGUUCGGAAUAACUCAGGGAAACUUGAGCUAAUACCGGAUACGCCCUUACGGGGAAAGAUUUAUUGCCGAAGGAACGGCCCGCGUCCGAUUAGCUAGUUGGUGAGGUAACGGCUCACCAAGGCGACGAUCGGUAGCUGGUCUGAGAGGAUGACCAGCCUCACUGGGACUGAGACACGGCCCAGACUCCUACGGGAGGCAGCAGUGGGGAAUAUUGGACAAUGGGCGCAAGCCUGAUCCAGCCAUGCCGCGUGAGUGAUGAAGGCCUUAGGGUUGUAAAGCUCUUUCACCCACGACGAUAAUGACGGUAGUGGGAGAAGAAGCCCCGGCUAACUUCGUGCCAGCAGCCGC